UCUCUAUAUCGCUGUCUGUCUAUCAGGAGAACAGUGGACCUACAACCAUGUCAGUGGUUUGUGUUAUGAAUGGCCAACAGACAAAAUGGAACACAAAUGAUGGUGCUUCUCACAUGCUGUCUUGCUGCCAAAUCUGCGGAAAGUAAAUUCACGUUACCUCACAGAACUCUUCCCUAACUAAUCCUUUUCAGGUUAGUCUUGUUGUCUGGCUUGUUUUUGACUGUUUAAGACGUUUUAAGAGUCACUGUUACAAGACAGCUCCUAAUUUCAUUGUUCUACAGAGGCCAAGUGUUGUUUUUGUGCCUCAUUACAUCCCAUCAAAAUAUAUAUUUAAUCAGGCAUGGUCAAACACACACACAUUCAUGUAUACACGCACUGUGUUUAAGGACAGGACAGCCAAUGGAAUAUCUCUCAGUUUUCCUCUCUCACCGUCACACUCUCCAUCUCUCUCACCUUUCUCUGUCCAUCUCUCUCAUUGUCAUAUUUCUUGACUGUGUGACAGUACUGUGAGGACCUUAAAGACAUACCCCAGCCUCAGUCGGAGCUGGACCCUGACUUUUGUCUAACCAGUCCAGUGGUACUGAGAAGUAGGAACAUCAUUGUUGUUAUUGUAGCUUCUAGAGAACCAAAAAGAGAGAUUGACUAUCUUCCCUCCGGACCAUUUUGAAUUCAGUUUUUCAGGCUUGCCUUGGAUUAAAAGAGGACUGAAGUCACAGAAAAUGGAGUAUGAAGGACCUUCUAGCCUGUUCCGCUGUGUCAGAGGGCAGAGGGACCACAACUCAUCCAGCACUUGCUGCACCUCUAUUAAUACAAAACUAACCCAGGCUGCCUUACCUAGCCCAGAGUGCCCUUCUACUUCCUCAUCCUCUUUGUACUCUCCUCAACUAGGAAAGCAGUCCAAUUUCAGGAGGGUCUCUACCACAGAAGAGCCAAGUGCCUGUCCAUUCCCCGGACUGGCAGCUAAUGUUCUCGAAAUGAAAGUGAGGGAGGGGAGCAAGAUCCGAAACCUCCUGGGAUUUGUAAUGGCUCGUAUGCAGAGCGAGAGAGAGAGAGUUCCGAGAAAGAGACUGAGACAGGGAGUGGAUGAUGGAAUGACUUGGACAAGACUAAGACAGGAUGUGGAUGAUGGAAUGACUCGGACGGCACUAAGACAAGAUGUGGAUGACAGAAUGACUCGGGCAGCACUAAGAUACGAAGUGGAUGACGACAUGACCCGGACAGGACUUAGACUCGAAGUGGAUGGUGGCUUGACCCGGAAAGGACUGAGAUGGGAAGAAGUCUUGGACAAGGUCUGGAGUCAGACAUGGCUGAGACAAGGACAGGACAUCUUGGACCCGGUCCGAGGUCAGACUGCUUCGGGGCUGAGUCUGGAAAACAGAGUCUUGGACGGUGGGAAUCAGAAUUGGACGGGACAGAGUGUGCGUCAAGUUGUCUUCACAGGGUCGGGCAGGGGGAUCACCAAGACUAUUAGUUGCGUUGAAAUCCUGAAACGCAAGCUGGGCGGGCUGCACCAGUUGUCUAUUCUCCAGUACAAGACCGUAAAUGAAGUAUGGGAGAGUCUGGAGACUGAGGCAAAACCCAACUCCAGGGUGACAGUGCAGAAGACAGUCCCUGCUAUCAGUAUCCUACUGUCUAAAGACCCGCUGGACCCACUUGAACCUGGGUAUCAAGCCCCAGAAACCCCACCCAAUCCUGGGUACCAACCUCCACAGUACCCGCACCCAGACCUCCAGUAUGCCAUUUCUGCCCGAGUGGGAAGCGACCCCAUUACCCUCUAUAGUCCAACUCAUCAGACCAAAGAAGCACCGUCAGCACCACCGGAACAGAUCCGCCUGGACGAGUGUUGGACACGGGGCGAAAGUGCUUUGAGGUUUUGGGAAGGCGGAAGCAGGACUUUGCCGUCCGCUACAGCGCGGGUACAAGCAGGGACCAUCUGAGGAGAGAGACAGGGAGAGGUCUCCCCUGGCUGCAGGACAGUGGACAUCUCAUUGACCCUGUCCCCAGCAGUUCAUCCUGCCCUGAAGCCAAGAGAAUCUGCAUGAAGGAACGCCCUCAAUGGAAGUGAACAUUGUGCAGUGUUUUGUGUCAGUUUCCUGGUUCCAAAUGAACCUUGCUCCCGGACUAAACAGAAAGUAAAUAUGAGGAGAUCGAAAACAAGAAAGACUUGUUAUUGUUGAUAGUAAAACAGUGACUAAGGGUAAAAUAACUGCUUCUUUUGUGUUUAGUUUGGCUGCUAUUCUCAUACAAACAGCACUCUAGUGUUCAGCUCCAUUUCUGGGCCACUUCAAAUAUCUCAAUAAAUUAUCUUUCACACAGUCUAUUCUUACUUUUUGACAUCGGUUCCUGGAACCGUUUUUUAGUACAACUGCCCUCUCGGGAUUAAUAUGUUCCUUGCAAUUGUAGACCUAUCAAACAAUUCUUAUGUUCAAAGUAAAAAAUCCCAUUCAGAUGCCAUACACAACUUGCGCAUGCGCACAUUGCGCAGAGCGUGGUUACUGGCUAGGUCUUGAGCUAAAGCUAAAUCGGAUCCCAUCAAUAUUUGUUUCAGCAGUAGCUGGUUGUCCUCUCGUCAUGUUCAGAGCAGCGGUCCGACUUUCAGUGUCUGGUGCCCGGAGUUUGACACGGGCACGGCCAGGGUGUACAGCUCCCUUGGCCCAGCGCUGUUAUUCACAUGGUGGAAAGCAGGAGACGGACGAGGAGUUUGAUGCCCGCUGGGUCACCUAUUUCAACAAGCCAGACAUCGAUGCGUGGGAGCU